CAGUCGCCGCGGGAAUACAGAGGGUGCGAGCGUUAAUCGGAUUUACUGGGCGUAAAGCGUGCGUAGGCGGCUUCUUAAGUCGGAUGUGAAAUCCCUGAGCUUAACUUAGGAAUUGCAUUCGAUACUGGGAAGCUAGAGUAUGGGAGAGGAUGGUAGAAUUCCAGGUGUAGCGGUGAAAUGCGUAGAGAUCUGGAGGAAUACCGAUAGCGAAGGCAGCCAUCUGGCCUAAUACUGACGCUGAUGUACGAAAGCAUGGGGAGCAAACAGGAUUAGAUACCCCUGUAGUCCCUGUCUCUUAUAC
rnacentral:rRNA from 1 species